rnacentral:rRNA from 1 species
AGUCGAACGGCAGCACGGGAGCAACCCUGGUGGCGAGUGGCGAACGGGUGAGUAAUACAUCGGAACGUGUCCUGUAGUGGGGGAUAGCCCGGCGAAAGCCGGAUUAAUACCGCAUACGCUCUACGGAGGAAAGGGGGGGAUCUUAGGACCUCUCGCUACAGGGGCGGCCGAUGGCAGAUUAGCUAGUUGGUGGGGUAAAGGCCUACCAAGGCGACGAUCUGUAGCUGGUCUGAGAGGACGACCAGCCACACUGGGACUGAGACACGGCCCAGACUCCUACGGGAGGCAGCAGUGGGGAAUUUUGGACAAUGGGCGCAAGCCUGAUCCAGCAAUGCCGCGUGUGUGAAGAAGGCCUUCGGGUUGUAAAGCACUUUUGUCCGGAAAGAAAACCUCCGCCCUAAUAUGGUGGGGGGAUGACGGUACCGGAAGAAUAAGCACCGGCUAACUACGUGCCAGCAGCCGCGGUAAUACGUAGGGUGCAAGCGUUAAUCGGAAUUACUGGGCGUAAAGCGUGCGCAGGCGGUCCGCUAAGACAGAUGUGAAAUCCCCGGGCUUAACCUGGGAACUGCAUUUGUGACUGGCGGGCUAGAGUAUGGCAGAGGGGGGUAGAAUUCCACGUGUAGCAGUGAAAUGCGUAGAGAUGUGGAGGAAUACCGAUGGCGAAGGCAGCCCCCUGGGCCAAUACUGACGCUCAUGCACGAAAGCGUGGGGAGCAAACAGGAUUAGAUACCCUGGUAGUCCACGCCCUAAACGAUGUCAACUAGUUGUCGGGUCUUCAUUGACUUGGUAACGUAGCUAACGCGUGAAGUUGACCGCCUGGGGAGUACGGUCGCAAGAUUAAAACUCAAAGGAAUUGACGGGGACCCGCACAACCGGUGGAUGAUGUGGAUUAAUUCGAUGCAACGCGAAAAACCUUACCUACCCUUGACAUGUAUGGAAUCCUGCUGAGAGGUGGGAGUGCCCGAAAGGGAGCCAUAACACAGGUGCUGCAUGGCUGUCGUCAGCUC